rnacentral:rRNA from 1 species
CUAUGCGCCUUGCCAGCCCGCUCAGGUGUGCCAGCCGCCGCGGUAAUACGGAGGAUGCGAGCGUUAUCCGGAUUUAUUGGUUUAAAGGGUGCGUAGGUGGUUAAUUAAGUCAGCGGUGAAAGUUUGUGGCUCAACCAUAAAAUUGCCGUUGAAACUGGUUGACUUGAGUAUAUUUGAGGUAGGCGGAAUGCGUGGUGUAGCGGUGAAAUGCAUAGAUAUCACGCAGAACUCCGAUUGCGAAGGCAGCAUACCGGCGCCCUACUGACGCUGAGGCACGAAAGCGUGGGUAUCGAACAGG